GGGUAUUUAAAUGUUCUAAAAACCCUAAAUCCGCAUCACUUCCCCUGUCGCUUCUCUUCUCUCUUUGUGACCAUUCUUCAGCCAUUUCUUCCCAUCUCUGAUCGCAUCAACAAUCAUUAAGCAUGAGCAUAUUGGUGUUAAUCGUUUAUUCUUGGUUCCAGAUUCUUAGUAUAAAUAAUUUCUUAUCAUUUGCACUUUCCCUUUUUCUACAAACCCUAACCAAAGAGAAAUCAAUCAAAACAAAGAUCUCUAAAGCAAUCGUGUGGUAACUCAAUUGCGGUGGUGGUAGUGGUGGUGCAAUGAUUUCGAUUCAACCAACCAUCAAUCUCUCUUAUCAUCAUUGACUCAAUUUCUAGGGUUUCAACAUGAGCAGAUCCAGUCAACCUCCAGAUCUUAAAAAGUAUAUGGACAAACAAUUGUAGAGGUACUGAAGUCAAGAUUGGUCAAAGCCAGGAAUUGUCACGAUAGGGAAACAAUGAUACUGAAGUCAAGAUUGGUCAAAGUCAUGAUUGGUACAUGUUUGCAUAAGCAUUUACUUCAUUUAUGCGACUCUAAUCUUCAAUAGGAACCAUUGCAGGUGUUUUGUCUGUUAGUGCUAGAGAAGUUGUCAAUAGGCAGCUUUCAGUUAGUUAGUGAAGGGUGUAUAGAAACUAAAAAAGAAGUUGAUCCCUUGACAAAGAUAAAGCUGCAGCUUUUUCCAAUUGAUGAAGUUACUAGACUUGGAUUAGAGAAGGAUGGUCUUAAUCCAUUCCUCGAACUCACACUCAAAGCUAGGAAGAAGAUAUCUUCUGUCAUCAAACACAUCCAUACAAAAUGGGGUGGGUCCCACAUAGCUGUAGGAGAGCCAAUGCUUUUGCCUUAUGAUACGCACCUUAGACAAUCACCUAUGAGCAGAAGAUGGACGUCAAAAGACUCCAGUAUUAGUGCAGGAGAUGUUUAUAUGGCUGUACAAAGUCCUGCUAUAUUUCGCUUAAGAGGUAUCUAUGCUGCUUCUUGAUGUGGACUUUUGAUUGUUAAUGGAGGUUGAUGAUAAGGAUUCUGAAGACCAUUCACUUAUGGAACUUCCAGGUGAUAUGCUUAAAGAAAGGUUUAAAUUAACAGGUCAUCGGAGUAGGGCUCCAAAAGAGAAACAAUACUGUGACAGCCACCUGGCACCUUUCUACAAAAUCGAGCUUGUGACGAGUAGCUAGGAUGAUCACUAUAUAAGUGGUGGUUCAAGUAUACAUCUGUCAUGUUUGUUGGCCGCAGAUUAAUUUGUGGUAACUUCAUGACUCAUGCUUUUACAACCAGGUGAAAAAAAUGACAGCAGGGUAUGUUGUUUCAGAAGCCAAAGUGGAGCAUUUCUAAAGUGGAGCAUUUCUGGUUUCUAUGUGUACGAUGAUAAACGCAAAGUGAGUCCGGAUACCAAAAUAAAGAAGUACAUCGAUAAAGCAAGGUAAAUUCCUGGCAUCUCAGUUGAUCCUAAUAGGGAUGAGCAUGUUAUCCGUUCGAUACAGAAAAGCAGGGAAAAUUGGUACCGGCAUUGGUACCAUUUAUCGGGAAAAAUGGGUACUGGUACCACAUAUACCCGGUACGGUUCGGUACAGAUACCCAGUACCAAAUGCUCAUCCCUACAUUCUAAGGUAUUUACUGUUCAUUUACGUCACUAAUUUCUAAACAGUUAUAAAUAUCUCCAAACGAUGCAACGAUAUGGAAACUCGAGUAGUUAGUUUGUGACAACCAAUGUCGUCACACGAUAUGAUGAGUAAAGUUCAGAAUCCUACAUUUUUGAAGAGUGUGAAAGAAAGUAUGUAAGUUUAUAACUAAUUAGGUUUGAUUUUGUUUCAGCUGGGGAAAUUACCAGAUAAAGACAUAACAGAAAUGGUGUUUUUUCCUGUUGUGAAUGAGGCGUUUAGAGUAUAUGCAGGGGGUAUUGCAGUAAAAACAUCUGAUAUGGAUAUCGAUGGUGUUACCACCUUACAGAUUCUUCUUCAUCUUUUGAUCAAAAUUAUUUUUUAUUUUAAUUUUAAUUUUAGUUUUGAAUAUCAACAUGUGUUUUGUACAGGGGAGGGAUUAUGUUAAGGGGAAAUUUGGUUGGAUCUAAGUACAUUCAUAGGAGGUUGAAUGAGUGGUGAAUGAUGUACGGGGUUCUUCAAGCCGUGCAACUAUUUGGUUCAGAGAGCUGCACAUGACGCUCCUUUGGUUAGAAUUUCUUUAAUCAUUUUUUUCAUAUAUAUUUAGAAAUUUAUGAUUAUUAUAAAUAUGAUUUGAUGGGGUUUCUAAGAUGGUUUAAUGAGUAUGCUUCUCUUUAAAUAACUCAUUACCCUUAAUAUAUGCGAAUUCUAAGAUGGUUUAAUGAGCAUGUUGUUGUCUUUGCACAUGAUUUAAUAGCCUGCCUUCCCACGUUUGUGCUGUGACAACUGGCAUUUUCUGUAGGUGCUUGAUGUCAAGCGGAUGAAUGGCCUUACAACUGAUCCACAAAUGCUUGAUGUCGCUUCAGAUAACGUCAGAAGGGAGGCAUCCACCAUCUCCCAUAAUGUCAGUGAAACAAGUUAUUUCUUCUCUUUAUUUAGUUGAUUAUUUUGAAUGGGUUAUUGUGCUUAAGGCUCUUAUAUGUACUUCAUGUUGUUUUGUUAUCAAAUUUGGUUCAAUAACCAACAAUCCAUAGCCUAUCUCUUUGUUUAAAUUAGAUCGGACAUGCUUCGAUGAA